rnacentral:rRNA from 1 species
UAUGGGGGGGGCAAGCGUUGUUCGGAAUUACUGGGCGUAAAGGGCUCGUAGGUGGCCAACUAAGUCAGACGUGAAAUCCCUCGGCUUAACCGGGGAACUGCGUCUGAUACUGGAUGGCUUGAGUUCGGGAGAGGGAUGCGGAAUUCCAGGUGUAGCGGUGAAAUGCGUAGAUAUCCGGAGGAACACCGGUGGCGAAGGCGGCUUCCUGGACCGACACUGACGCUGAGGCGCGAAAGCUAGGGGAGCAAACGGG